GGCGCUGAGUCGAAUGGUCUUGGUCCGAAGUCUCUACGACGAAGCGUUCUUGAGAUAUUUCACUUUGAAAUUGCAAAAACGGGGGCCGCGCCCUGACGUCAUGCGGCCAUUUGGUUACAUCAUCACGGGCUGCCUACGUCAUUGUGGCAAAGUCGUUUCUCUUCGCCAGUCUACAACUUACAAGCACUAAUUUUAGUUGGUAUUUCAAGGGAAGAUGGGCGAUUCCGAACAAUCCUCUGUCCCCAGCAAUGAAGGCAGCGAUGCUGAGGCCAGUGAGGACGACCAACAGCCCACCGCCGCGUAUGGUUGGGGCAGGGAGCCCAGAUACUCUGCUGAGGAGCUGCCAUCGCGUGUAACAAAUGUGGAGGAAGAAGAUGCGUCAGCAGCUGCGUCCGACAGAAGACGAGUAGCUUGGCCACCAGAAUCUCGAUUCGUUUGGGACUCCGACUGGUGCGAGCGUGGACAAAAGUGUAUAGCCAUGCCCAGCCCGCGGGAAUGAUUUUGCUGGUAGGAUGCUGCCGUCGCUGUCGACAAGACGGCCCAAGGUUUCUUGCGUAGCGGACCUCGCAGAUUACGAGAUCGUAUCCUUGCAUUAGGCUGUGCUCAUCACUGCUCUUCGAGGUUAUCUCGACAUGCAGAAGCCGCCAAUGCCAGUGACAGAAGAGUCUGACAUUAGAUCUCUACGCUAUGCGGCACACAGGCAGUACACACUAUGUACACGGCAAAUUGGGCAAGCACGUUCGUUGUCGUCUUCCAGCCUGCGUUGUGAAUACCAUCAGGCAAAGAUAUCCAAAUCCUGCACCACCUCAGCCUUCUCAGGAGGCUUCCACCUGGAAUUUGGCAGGGAAACACGCUUCUCCAAGGCAGGAACAUGGAGGUUGCCAUUUGCAACCGCUACCACCUCACACAUGAGCUUGUCAACAUACUCAUAGCUCUUUCUGUCGUAUAAUUUUCUAUUUGGCCACAGUCUUCUUUAUGCUUUGAGAACUGGACUUUAUACCUUCC